rnacentral:rRNA from 1 species
AUUGAACGCUGGCGGCAUGCCUUACACAUGCAAGUCGAACGGCAGCACGGAGCUUGCUCUGGUGGCGAGUGGCGAACGGGUGAGUAAUAUAUCGGAACGUACCCAAGAGUGGGGGAUAACGUAGCGAAAGUUACGCUAAUACCGCAUACGAUCUAAGGAUGAAAGCAGGGGAUCGCAAGACCUUGUGCUCCUGGAGCGGCCGAUAUCUGAUUAGCUAGUUGGUGAGGUAAAGGCUCACCAAGGCAUCGAUCAGUAGCUGGUCUGAGAGGACGACCGGCCACACUGGAACUGAGACACGGUCCAGACUCCUACGGGAGGCAGCAGUGGGGAAUUUUGGACAAUGGGGGCAACCCUGAUCCAGCAAUGCCGCGUGAGUGAAGAAGGCCUUCGGGUUGUAAAGCUCUUUUGUCAGGGAAGAAACGGUGAAGGCUAAUAUCCUUUGCUAAUGACGGUACCUGAAGAAUAAGCACCGGCUAACUACGUGCCAGCCGCCGCGGUAAAAC